rnacentral:rRNA from 1 species
GACGAACGCUGGCGGCGUGCUUAACACAUGCAAGUCGAGCGGAGCGGCGAACGGGUGAGUAACGCGUGAGUAACUGCCCCCCUCUCUGGGAUAACAGUUGGCAACGGCUGCUAAUACCGGAUAGUGGGGGAUGACUCGCGUCCUAUCAGAUUGUUGGUGGGGUAGUGGCCUACCAAGGCGACGACGGGUAGCCGGCCUGGGAGGGCGACCGGCCACAUUGGGCUGAGAUACGGACCAAACUUGUACGGGAGGCAGCAGGGGAGAACAUUGCCCAAUGAGGGAAACUCUGAGGCAGAAACGCCGCGUGCGGGAUGACGGCCUUCGGGUUGUAAACAGCUUUCAGCCAUGACGCGGUAGUGGCAGAAGAAGCACCGGCUAACUACGUGCCAGCAGCCGCGGUAAUAC